UACAGGGGGGGCAAGCGUUGUUCGGAAUUACUGGGCGUAAAGGGUUCGUAGGUGGCCGACUAAGUCAGACGUGAAAUCCCUCAGCUUAACUGGGGAACUGCGUCUGAUACUGGUUGGCUUGAGUGCAGGAGAGGAACGCAGAAUUCCAGGUGUAGCGGUGAAAUGCGUAGAUAUCUGGAGGAAUACCGGUGGCGAAGGCGGCGUGCUGGACUGUAACUGACACUGAGGAGCGAAAGCCAGGGGAGCAAACGGG
rnacentral:rRNA from 1 species